GCCGGGGUACCCUAGCCUGGUAGGGGGCAGGCUUGCUAAGCCUGUGCCCGGUUUCGGGCGCGCGGGUUCAAAUCCCGCCCCCGGCGCCA
rnacentral:tRNA from 1 species